rnacentral:ncRNA from 1 species
CCACGGGGAGCUUGUGUAGCAGGCUGAGAGGAAGUAAUCGAACUUCGACCCUUAUACCUGAUUUGGAUAAUGCCAACGUAGGAACUGGGAAAUAUA